AACGAACGCUGGCGGCAAGCUUAAUACAUGCAAGUCGAACGCCCCUUUCGGGGGGAGUAGCAGACGGGUGAGUAACACGUGGGAACGUGCCCUUCAGUUCGGAAUAACCCAGGGAAACUUGGGCUAAUACCGGAUACGCCCUUACGGGGAAAGAUUUAUCGCUGAAGGAUCGGCCCGCGUCUGAUUAGCUAGUUGGUGAGGUAAAGGCUCACCAAGGCGACGAUCAGUAGCUGGUCUGAGAGGAUGAUCAGCCACACUGGGACUGAGACACGGCCCAGACUCCUACGGGAGGCAGCAGUGGGGAAUAUUGGACAAUGGGCGCAAGCCUGAUCCAGCCAUGCCGCGUGAGUGAUGAAGGCCUUAGGGUUGUAAAGCUCUUUCGGCGGGGACGAUAAUGACGGUACCCGCAGAAGAAGCCCCGGCUAACUUCGUGCCAGCCGCCGCAGUAAUAC
rnacentral:rRNA from 1 species